rnacentral:rRNA from 1 species
UGCUGGAGGUAUCAGAAGUGCGAAUGCUGACAUAAGUAACGAUAAAGCGGGUGAAAAGCCCGCUCGCCGGAAGACCAAGGGUUCCUGUCCAACGUUAAUCGGGGCAGGGUGAGUCGACCCCUAAGGCGAGGCCGAAAGGCGUAGUCGAUGGGAAACAGGUUAAUAUUCCUGUACUUGGUGUUACUGCGAAGGGGGGACGGAGAAGGCUAUGUUGGCCGGGCGACGGUUGUCCCGGUUUAAGCGUGUAGGCUGGUUUUCCAGGCAAAUCCGGAAAAUCAAGGCUGAGGCGUGAUGACGAGGCACUACGGUGCUGAAGCAACAAAUGCCCUGCUUCCAGGAAAAGCCUCUAAGCAUCAGGUAACAUCAAAUCGUACCCCAAACCGACACAGGUGGUCAGGUAGAGAAUACCAAGGCGCUUGAGAGAACUCGGGUGAAGGAACUAGGCAAAAUGGUGCCGUAACUUCGGGAGAAGGCACGCUGAUAUGUAGGUGAAGUCCCUCGCGGAUGGAGCUGAAAUCAGUCGAAGAUACCAGCUGGCUGCAACUGUUUAUUAAAAACACAGCACUGUGCAAACACGAAAGUGGACGUAUACGGUGUGACGCCUGCCCGGUGCCGGAAGGUUAAUUGAUGGGGUCAGCGCAAGCGAAGCUCUUGAUCGAAGCCCCGGUAAACGGCGGCCGUAACUAUAACGGUCCUAAGGUAGCGAAAUUCCUUGUCGGGUAAGUUCCGACCUGCACGAAUGGCGUAAUGAUGGCCAGGCUGUCUCCACCCGAGACUCAGUGAAAUUGAACUCGCUGUGAAGAUGCAGUGUACCCGCGGCAAGACGGAAAGACCCCGUGAACCUUUACUAUAGCUUGACACUGAACAUUGAGCCUUGAUGUGUAGGAUAGGUGGGAGGCUUUGAAGUGUGGACGCCAGUCUGCAUGGAGCCGACCUUGAAAUACCACCCUUUAAUGUUUGAUGUUCUAACGUGGACCCGUGAUCCGGGUUGCGGACAGUGUCUGGUGGGUAGUUUGACUGGGGCGGUCUCCUCCUAAAGAGUAACGGAGGAGCACGAAGGUUGG